GGCAACCUCCUUUGAGUCCCCUCCCUUUGUAUAGGAGCUCUGUUUUCACUGUGUUUCACUCUAUUAAAUCUUGCAAUUGCACUCUUCUGGUCCAUAUUUGUCACGGCUUGAGCUGAGCUUUCACUUGCCGUCCACCACUACUGUUUGCUGCUGUCACAGACCCGCCGCUGACUCCCAUCCCGCUGCUGACUCCCAUCCCUCCGGAUCCGGCAGGGUGUCCGCUGUGCUCCUGAUCCAGCAAGACUCCCAUUGCCACUCCCGAUAGUGCUAAAGGCUUGCCAUUGUUCCUGCAUGGCUAAGUGCCUGGGUUCGUCCUAAUCCAGCUGAACACUAGUCACUGGGUUCCACGGUUCUCUUCCAUGACCCGCGGCUUCUAAUAGAGCUAUAACACUCACCACAUGGCCCAAUAUUCCAUUCCUUGGAAUCCGUGAGGCCAAGAACCCCAGGUCAGAGAACACGAGGCUUGCCACCAUCUUGGAAGCAGCCUGCCACCAUCUUGGAAGUGGCUCACCACCGUCUUGGGAGUUCUGUGAACAAGGACCCCUGGUAACAUUUUGGCGACCACGAAGGGACAUCCAAAGCUCUUAACUAAUGCUUGUGAUGUUUAACGCCUGUCUUUUCAACUU
rnacentral:lncRNA from 1 species